rnacentral:rRNA from 1 species
AUGAGGCUAAUUAUCGGGCAAGUUCAUCGGAAUGUUCUUGCGCUGGCGUCAUCUCGGUCAUGCUUUGUCAUCGGUGACCAUCUCCCGUUCAGAAUGCUGUCGUUGCCACGGGCAUCAGGGUUCCAUCAGACUGCUUGGCGGGGUAGUCAAACUGUCCAGGAUAGUGGCAGCACACUAACUCUGGCUAGCCUGGAAGUCCAAAGCAAAGCUGAUUAUGUGAAGAAGGAAAGGAUGCCACAAAGCAAAGCUGAUUACGUGAAGAAGGAAAGGGUGCCAGAAAGCAAAGCUGAUUAUGUGAAGAAGGAAAGGGGGCCACGAACUGGAGGGCCGAAGCCAAACUCAAGAGAUUCUGCUUUCAGUGUGAAACCAAAGAAGGUUUCUUCGCUUAAUCUGAAGCCAGCGAAGAGUGCCUUACCAAAGUCGCCAGUGGUGAAGAAGAAACUGAAGAUCGAUGAGGCUUUAUUUUCUGCAAGUUCAUUUGAAGAGCUCGGUCUGCCGCCUUUGCUCAUUGACCGGCUGAACAAGGAAGGCCUGACCUCUCCAACUGAGGUCCAGUCCGCUUCUAUUCCUGUCAUAUCUCAAAGGCAUGAUGCGGUUAUCCAAUCAUAUACUGGGUCAGGGAAAACACUUGCGUACCUUCUCCCUAUUCUUUCUGAAAUAGGGCCCCUGAAGAGGGCUAGAGAACAGGGUAAUUCUGAAAAGAGAUCAGGUAUAGAAGCUGUUGUUGUUGCUCCUUCAAGAGAACUAGGGAUGCAGAUAGUGCGAGAAGUGGAGAAGAUUUUGGGUCCUGAUGAUAAGAGACUUGUCCAGCAGCUUGUUGGCGGUGCUAACCGUUCGAGGCAAGAGGAAGCACUGAAGAAGAACAAGCCUAUUAUUGUUGUUGGAACACCUGGCCGCAUUUCGGAAAUUUCAGCGGCGGGUAAGCUACAAACUCAUAACUGCCGUUUUCUUGUACUGGAUGAAGUUGACCAGCUCUUAUCAUUCAAUUACCGUGAGGAUAUGCAUAGAAUACUGGAGCACGUUGGAAGGAAACCUAGCACUUCAUCUUCUAGUCACAUCCUUGGUCCACUUGCUAGGCGGUCUGACCGUCAGACAAUCUUGGUUUCAGCAACAGUGCCGUUUUCAGUUAUACGUGCAGCCAGGAGUUGGGGCCAUGAUCCAGUUCUUGUUAGGGCUAAGAGUGUAGUCCCGCUUGACUCGAUCACUGUUCCAAGGCCCAUGCUGUCCCAGGGUGACCCUAACUCUGAUUCUCCAACAAUGUCAGUGAAUCAAGCUGCAGUUGACAGCUUACCGCCAUCGUUGGAGCAUUACUACUGUACAACCAAGGCUCAUCACAAAGUUGACACCGUAAGGAGAUGCAUCCAUGCCCUGGAAGCAGAGACGGUGAUUGCAUUUAUGAACAACACCAAGCCACUGAAGGAUGUUGUGUUUAAGUUGGAGGCCCGUGGGAUGAAAGCUAUCGAGCUACAUGGAGAUCUUGGGAAGCUUGCAAGGUCAACAGUUCUAAAAAAGUUCAAGGCAGGUGAAUUCAGGGUUCUGGUCACAAACGAGCUGUCCGCCAGAGGACUGGACAUACCAGAAUGCGACCUUGUGAUCAACCUGGAUCUUCCCACAGACUCUACGCACUACGCCCACAGAGCUGGCCGGACUGGACGUCUUGGGCGGAAAGGGACCGUGGUCUCAAUAUGUGAAGAAAGUGAGGCAUUUAUCAUGAGGAAAAUGCGUAAGCAGUUAGGUGUGGCCAUCAAGCCAUGCGAAUUCACUGAAGGCCAGAUUACCGUUCAUAAAGAGGAAGACGUGGAAUAA